rnacentral:lncRNA from 1 species
GGUACAUUAACAAGCUCCUAGAACAUUAGAUUUGGGAGAGAAGAAACAAUUUCUUGGAAGGAGAAUAACCAGAAAACUCAUAUGGCUACACUAAGACUCCAAGCUCUUUUUGUGAUCAACCUGCUUCUGCUCUUUCAGCUCCAGACACACCAAUGUAAGUUAUUCAUCAUUCAAAGCUUACUGCAUUAUAUGUCAUUAGCUUUCAUGUUCAACAACGUUAAUUUGCUAAUCAGUCAUUCUAUCGUACACAGGUGUGAUGGUACCUAAUUCGAGAAUCACGGGAGAAGAUGACAACUACACAAGCAUCUCAAAGCUCAGCUCUGGAGACAAAAUCCAUUUCUGUUUUCCAAACAUGUGCCACAAUCAGACACUGAGCUUUAUACAUUGUUGGUGUUGCUUCCGAAAUUUCCACAUUCGCUGUUACUCAAAGCACCAUAUAUGUAAAGAGUAUUGUUAAGUUCAUAUAACAAAGAUAUAAUGAUUCCAUGAAAUAAAACAUGGUCUAAUUAGGCCAA